rnacentral:rRNA from 1 species
AUUGAACGCUGGCGGCAGGCCUAACACAUGCAAGUCGAACGGUAACAGGAAGCAGCUUGCUGCUUUGCUGACGAGUGGCGGACGGGUGAGUAAUGUCUGGGAAACUGCCUGAUGGAGGGGGAUAACUACUGGAAACGGUAGCUAAUACCGCAUAACGUCGCAAGACCAAAGAGGGGGACCUUCGGGCCUCUUGCCAUCGGAUGUGCCCAGAUGGGAUUAGCUAGUAGGUGGGGUAACGGCUCACCUAGGCGACGAUCCCUAGCUGGCCUGAGAGGAUGACCAGCCACACUGGAACUGAGACACGGUCCAGACUCCUACGGGAGGCAGCAGUGGGGAAUAUUGCACAAUGGGCGCAAGCCUGAUGCAGCCAUGCCGCGUGUAUGAAGAAGGCCUUCGGGUUGUAAAGUACUUUCAGCGGGGAGGAAGGGAGUAAAGUUAAUACCUUUGCUCAUUGACGUUACCCGCAGAAGAAGCACCGGCUAACUCCGU